rnacentral:tRNA from 1 species
GCUUUCGUAGUGUAAUGGUGAGCACAUUCGGCGCGUAACCGAGAGGCCAUGGUUCAAUUCCCGGCGAGGGCA